rnacentral:pre_miRNA from 1 species
UUGGUGGGCGCACUCGAUCCCGGCUGUCCUCCCCUCGCGCGGCGGAUCGGGUCCGCGCUACCGG